UAGAUAGAAGCCAAUUAGGCACCUAACUGUUAAUUAGCCCCCUGCUGCUACGCAGCCUAUCUAG
rnacentral:tRNA from 1 species